CCCUCCAUCCCUCCACCUCUUUAUCCCACUAACUGAACGCUCAGGUGCAUCUCUAUAGCCAGACGGAAGGGUAGAGAGAGAACAACAGGAAACACCAGAGCCAGGACAUGACCACAAGCCGAGGGAGGGGAAAGAGAAAGAAAAGAGACAGAGCGAGGUGGAGAGUAUCAAUGUUGAAUAUGUGGUCGCAUGCAAUAGAUUUUGUGUUUGCUCUUACCUGGUUACCCACAGAGCAGCUGUCACCUAAUACUGCAAAGAGUCUGCCUGGGAGGAACCACUGCCCUCAAAACCCCUGGUCUCCAUCCCUCCAUCCCCCACCCAUCGCUAAGUAUCCCUCCCAGGGGCCUCACUAAGUAUCUCCACCAGGUAACUCCACCAGGGGCCUCACCAGGGGCCUCACUAAGUAUCUCCACCAGGGGUCUCACUAAGUAUCUCCACCAGGUAACUCCACCAGGGGCCUCACUAAGUAUCUCCACCAGGUAACUCCACCAGGGGCCUCACCAGGUAACUCCACCAGGGGCCUCACUAAGUAUCUCCACCAGGGGCCUCACUAAGUAUCUCCACCAGGUAACUCCACCAGGGGCCUCACCAGGGGCCUCACCAGGGGCCUCACUAAGUAUCUCCACCAGGUAACUCCACCAGGGGCCUCACCAGGUAACUCCACCAGGGGCCUCACUAAGUAUCUCCACCAGGGGCCUCACUAAGUAUCUCCACCAGGUAACUCCACCAGGGGCCUCACCAGGGGCCUCACUAAGUAUCUCCACCAGGGGCCUCACUAAGUAUCUCCACCAGGGGCCUCACUAAGUAUCUCCACCAGGUAACUCCACCAGGGGCCUCACCAGGGGCCUCACUAAGUAUCUCCACCAGGUAACUCCACCAGGGGCCUCACCAGGUAACUCCACCAGGGGCCUCACUAAGUAUCUCCACCAGGGGCCUCACUAAGUAUCUCCACCAGGUAACUCCACCAGGGGCCUCACCAGGGGCCUCACUAAGUAUCUCCACCAGGGGCCUCACUAAGUAUCUCCACCAGGUAACUCCACCAGGGGCCUCACCAGG